GACGAACCGAGCGAACGUUGUUCGGAAUCACUGGGCUUAAAGGGCGCGUAGGCGGGCUGCCAAGUCUGGGGUGAAAUCCCGCGGCUCAACCGUGGAAUCUGCCUCAGAUACUGGCGGCCUCGAGGGAGGUAGGGCGGAAGCGGAACUAAUGGUGGAGCGGUGAAAUGCGUUGAUAUCGAUUAAGGAACUCCGGGUGGCGAAGGCGGCUGCGCUUGGACCGUUUUCUGACGCAUGAGGCGACGAAAGCUGAGGGGAGCAAACAGGGGAUUAA
rnacentral:rRNA from 1 species